ACUUUAAAGAUACUUGGGUGGCGGAGUUGUGGCAGCAUUCUAAUGAGGGGGUGGCUGGAAUCCUAACUUCCUAAGGCCCCUAAAUGACUGGGAGAUUGUUAUUGGGGUGCGCUUUUUGGCAAGACUUCAAGAUAAAGUGGUAUAAGAGGGUAAAGAGGAUAAAGUGUGUUGGGUUGAUACGAAGAGUGGAACUUUCUCUAUUAAAUCACUUUAUGCUAGCCUAGAGAUAAGAAGGAAAGUGCAAUUCCCUUCUAGUGUUGUGUGGAGUGUGUGGGUUCCUUGUAAGGUGUCCUUUUUUGCUUUGGAGGCGACUUGGGGAAAAACUUUGACUCUUGACCAGCUUCAAAGGAGGGGGUGGUCUUUCGCCAAUUGUUGUUUCCUUUGUCUGUCUCAUGAGGAGUUUAUUGACCACAUCCUUUUGCAUUGUGACAAGACAAGGGUGUUGUGGGAGCUAUUAUUCUCUCUCUUUAGAGUUUUUUGGGUGAUGCAGUCCACAGUUAGAGAGACUCUACUAGGCUGGCAUGAUUCCUUUGUUGGAAGAAAGCGGAAAAAGGUUUGAAGGGCAACUCCUUUAUACCUCUUCUGGACUAUUUGGAAAGAGAGAAAUAGAGGAUCUUUUGAGAAUGUGAAACUCUCAAUCCAAAGGCUGAAAUACUUGUUUGUGUAACUUGUUAACUUGGACCAAACUGUUUAUAGGUGAAAGAUUGAUGUCCAUAGUAGAUUUCAUUGAUUGGUUGGGGUCGGUUUGAGGGAGAGAGUGUCUUUUUUUUUUCUCUUCCUUUUUUUAGCAUUUUUAGGCCACCAUUGUAUACAUCGUGUGUACUUUGGUUUGCCCUUUUUGGUGUGGUUAAUACAAAUCUCAUUUACUGAUCAAAAGAAAAAAAAAAUGCAUGUCCCUAAAUUCAGAAUGAUAUUUUUCUAAGCUAAUAUGUGUUAGGGAAAUGCAUACUCUAAAGUUGUAAUUGAGAUUAAAUCUUCUUAAGUAAAUGAAAAAUCACUAGUUAGUCUCACAUUUGGAAAUUACUAGAUGAGAAGCUAGAAUAUGUAACAUUUUAUUUCUAAUGCAUUUGAUCACAUAAAGUAAAUUGUGUCAAUAAGACUUUGUUUGGUGCUUUGCCCUUGGUCCAACAAUUAUAUUAUGGGACUUCUAUGCAUUUGGAUUUUUAGAUCCAAAUUUCAAUUAUCAGAACCACAAUUUCAAUUAUCAGAACCACACUUCUUCCUAGUGCAGGAUAGAAGAAGUGGAGGAAAAGGUUGAGGAGUUGAUCAUAGAGGUUGGAGUUCCAAAAUCACCUUUUUACCUCUUUCUGGUCCCUGAAUCUAGAGAAAUUUAUGAAAUUCUGUGUGUCCAUUUACAUUAUCACCUUGAAGGUGUGGAAUGUAUUUAUUGCUGAUAGAAAACUUUGGCAACUAUAUUGAUAAUGAUUUUUGUUUUCUUUCCAUUUGUCCAUUUCUUGCUUUGGGAAUUAUAGGAUCUUUUGGCCUACAAUUUUGUAUCUUUUCAUUGGAUUGGACUUGAUUUUUGAAAUAUGCAACAUUGCUGUUCAUGACCAUGUUCUAUUGAAUACAAAAAUAAAAUGGUGUUAAAUCUAUUUUGUUGCAGACCCAAAACAGCUGGGGAUAAGGUCUUGUGAUGUGUACUGUUGCAAGGGGUUCUUCAUUGGGGAAGAAGAAGUGUGUGAGAACACUCCCUUUAUAGUAAUUCCAAAGACAAACUAUUUGAAAAUUCCACCUGCAUUCAAGCAUGCAUUUAUAUGAAAUAUGCAUGUACCAUUUGAUUCUUGUUCGUUCUCUUUUGUGAACCCUGGAGGUUCAUUUAGAUGUUGAUGCUGCUGCUGCAAGGAUGGCAUCAAGAAGGGCUUGGAACUAGAUAAUCAUUUUGUCUCAAUGUGGCCAGUUGCCUUUAAUGAUUGGAGCAUCUUCAAAAUCUUGCGUCCAUGCAGACAACAAUGGAAAUUUCUCCUCAUCCCCAACUGUUAGGCCAACAAUCUCUUCCAAUAUGCUAAUCAUGUUGGCAAGCAAACCCAAGGCAAGAUCAAGGAACCUCAUCAUCUCUCCACCGAAGGACUUCUUUCCCUUCAACUUUUCUUCCAAGAACUUCAGGUGGAGAUAUAGCUGAUAAAUAUGACAGAGGAUUCAGUGGACUUUUGAUGAAGGGAAGGUUGAUGGUAACAAAGAUGUUGGAAGUAUGAUAUUUUUCUGAAGAGCUUGACAUACCUGUAAGCAAAAAAGGGGAAAAUCCUAAUCUUGCUGCUUCAACUCGCAUUCCUAUUGAUGUAAUCAAGAUAGACUUGGCCAAGGUCCUGUGUUGUGAGGUGGAGACGAAGGAGAGAGAAGGAGAAGGGUUCUUCAAUCACCGACUCAAAGAGAAACCUGGGAGAAUUUCCAGAAGCACAAUGACAGAAGAAGCCACCCCAACCCAUAGCCCUUCUGCUUUGAUGACGCUCCUCUGAACCUCAAUUUUCCUUUGCUUUUCUCAGCUGCCAAACAUGUCGGACCCAUCAAUUUUCCCUCUAUUUUCUCGACUUUUCUUUCCCUCAGAGCCGUGAAUGUCUACCAAUUUUUUGAUUUAUUUUUUAAUUUUUUAUUCUCUCAACUCUCUACAACAAAAAAGAGAAAAAAAAAUUGGAUUUUGUUUUAUGCGGGUUUUGUGGAGAUUGUUGAUUGCGUUGGUGUCUGGUUUAUUUGAAACAAACGGAAUCGAAGGAAAAGGGGAGUAGGGGAGCUGUUUAAUUGUAUCUUUCUUCUCUACCGGAGGAAAAUUUGGGGGUGAGAAUUAGAGGUGAAGCUCACUUAGCUUGGUUCAAAAAUUUGGUUUGUCUUUGUACUUGUCUGGCUUCUGAUUGGGAAUUGUUGUGAUAUAUUGAAUAAUUUGGAAAA